rnacentral:rRNA from 1 species
AACGAACGCUGGCGGCAGGCUUAACACAUGCAAGUCGAGCGAGACCUUCGGGUCUAGCGGCGGACGGGUGAGUAACGCGUGGGAACGUGCCCUUCUCUACGGAAUAGCCCCGGGAAACUGGGAGUAAUACCGUAUACGCCCUUUGGGGGAAAGAUUUAUCGGAGAAGGAUCGGCCCGCGUUGGAUUAGGUAGUUGGUGGGGUAAUGGCCCACCAAGCCGACGAUCCAUAGCUGGUUUGAGAGGAUGAUCAGCCACACUGGGACUGAGACACGGCCCAGACUCCUACGGGAGGCAGCAGUGGGGAAUCUUAGACAAUGGGGGCAACCCUUGAUCUAGCCAUGCCGCGUGAGUGAUGAAGGCCUUAGGGUUGUAA